UUCCCGCACGCUCCUGACUGCCGGAAGAAGACCGGGAGCGGUAGUCCUGCGCUGAGCCCAGGAGGGAGGCGUGCCUGAGAUUCUAAGCGCUAGGAACUACAUUCCCCAUGGUGCUAUGCGAGUUCGGUUCCACGACGCUGGCGGAGGCGAAGUGCACAUGGAGCACGCGCGUUUCUCUUCGGGCCGCUGUUCCUUGGAGGCGUAGGGAGCAUGCGCGGCCGCCCUCCAAGCGAGUGCUCCCUGGUGGUUGAGGCGCGCGCUGCGAACGGGAGCCCAACGCGUCGCUGGCGAAGGUGCAGUCCGACCCCUCAGCGGUGGACCCGGAUGCAGGACGCGUGACUUCGAGGAGCGGUUGCCCAGCCGGGGCAGGUUUGCCGUGGCGCCUCCUCGCUGGACGAGAUAGUGCUGCGCUCCUCGGACCUGUUACCUUAAAGAGGGCGGCGGGAAGCCUGAGCGCUGUGUUGCGGGGAGUUCCCGGCUUCUCUCCAGUUAGCAGCGCCCCGUGAAGAGAUGGCAAGCGCCGAACCUCGCUGUGGAAAACCAGGGCGGAGGAGAGUCGCGGACCUGGAGGCUUCUGCAGCCCCUGGUCCUGGGCGCCUGCACGCCCCUCGCUAGGGUAACUGUGCGAAGGACGGGAAGGAGAGCAGCCGCUACCGGGUGGCUUUGAAGUUUCCACAAGAGCGCCGAGUUUCCAGAAGAUCCACUUCCAGCCGGGGCCACGAAGGUCUAUCCUGUCCCCUGGAGCUGGAGUUUCAGGUAGUUGUGAGCCACCUCAUGUGGAUGCUGGGAACUGAAACCGGAUCCUCAGGAAAAGCAGCAAGAACUCUGUAACCAUCGAACCAUCUCUUUGGCCCCUUAAGAUAGAUUUUCUUUCUUAAGAUUUUCUAAACAUUGCCAUCUUUGCAAUGUUUAGGUUUUUUUUUUUAUCUGAAAUGUUUAUUUGAUUUAAUCAUUUCAGUUUAAUCUGUUGUAUGGACUUAAUGAAAUACUGAUUUAACUCACGUA